CCUACAUAAAAAGGGAUACUUUCUUAUUACACUGCGUUUGUAAAAGAAAUAUCUUCCCUACCUUUAGUUUAAUUUGGAAGAUAUUUGUUUCUAGUCGGAAGUAAAUAAGACGUGCACCAGGCUGUCAGUGCAUUACAAUAGUGUCCUGAACGUAAAGAACUACGUCAUAUAUAGAAACUAUUAUUUAUUAUAUCAUGCCAUAAUUAGUGCACAUUUAUAGGGAAAGUAGAAUUUAUUAGUAUUUAAGAGGUUUUAGAAAUUUGAGCCUUUUUUUUUGCCAAGCAGAUGCCUCCGAAGGAUCCAUGCCAGAAGCAAGCUUGUGCCAUACAGAAGUGUUUACAAGAUUAGAAACCUUCAUCAAAAAAUUCAUCGCCAGGCAGCACUCAGACGCGAGUCUGUGCCCACGAGAGCCUCAGAUUCCUGUUCUUGGCUGACAGGAGAGGAACCUGAUGUGAACCUGAUGUGCUCUUCCUCUGUUGUAGCUCAUCCACCUCAAGGUUUGAUGUGUUGUGCAUGCUGAGAUGCUUUUCUGCUCACCACAGUUGUAAAGAGUGAUUAUUUGAGUUACUGUAGACUUCCUGUCAGCUCAAACCAGUCUGAUCAUUCUCCUCUGACCUUUCUCAUCAACACAGUGUUUAAGCCUGCAGAUCCUCCACUCACAGGAUGUUUUUUGUUUUUUGCACCAUUCUGUGUAAACUUCUAGAGACUGGUGUGUGUGAAAUUCCCAGGAGAUCAGCAGCUUCUGAAAUCCUCAAACCAGCCCAUUUGGUACCAACAGCCAUGUCACGGAUCACUUUUUCUUCAUUCUGAUGUUUGAUGUGAACAUUAACUGAAGCUCUUGAUCUGUAUCUGUAUGAUACAGGCCUAUAUUUAUAUUUAUAUUUAUAUUUAGGCCUAUAUAAAAUGACAUCUAAAAAAUAUUUAAUCUGUGUAUUUGAAAUAAAUUUCUAAUUGGAACUUAAGCAUAAUUUGUAUAUAAAAGUGCGGUAACUCAUCACAAAUUGCAAGAUUCAAAGCCGAUCAAUUGAGGUUUACACUAAUUAGACUUCUUAUGCAUUAAUGUGUGUAAACGCUCAUAUGAAUGAUUUACGAAUAAAUCUGAUCGUAUCCUACUUGUGCUCCUGAGUGUGUGUAAAUUUACGUAUAAGAAGACUAACUAAUGUAAAUCUCGACUUGAUCGACUUCAGAUCCUAUAAUCUGCAGGGAUUACUGCACUUUUCUAUCCGGAAUAUUCUGUGGAGUUUAAACUGUUUGUGUUUAUGACGUUUGCAGCGUUUAGCAGACGCCCUUAUCCAGAGCGACUGAUAGAAGAGCUUUAGAGUCUCGAUCAGAAACACGUCCUCAUGCUAGUUCACUCGCUCAGGGACUCAGAGCUCCGUCCACAACAUUUACUCAAAACCAGACGCUUUAUUUUAUUGGUGUUAAUUAAAGAAUAUAAAAAAUAAAGAAAGUGAGGCAACACACACACUCAUAAAAGAAAUGGUGGUGUAUAAAUGGAGGACGGGCCGCUCUGUCUGCGCAGAGCCGUAAGCCGUAAACAAACACCUCAGCUGAUGGAGGAUUUAGUGUUCACUUACUACUACUACUACUAUUAUUAAUUAUUAAUAUUAAAUAUUUUUAAUGGUGUAGAAGUGAGUCAAAAUAACUUCCACUUCUGUUUUUCAGUCUUCACCCUGAUCCCUCAUUUCGUGCUCCCUGCUGUCUGUGCACUUUACCUUUUAUGGAGUUUUGUAGGCGUCACUACAUGCAAAUCAGCUGUGUGGGAAACACAUUGUGCAUGUUACAGCUGAUCAACACACACACACACGUGAGUACAAAGAAAAUCCACAUUUCUGAAACUUUCGUAAAAUUUUACAGAACUUUUGUAAAACUUUUCGGAAAAUUUUAGUUCGGUUUAGCUUUCACAAACAUUUACACACAACUUCAGUAAAAGAUUGAUAAAUGAAGCCCGCUGAUGGUAUCGUUGCUAUUUAAACUCUCUUAUUUGGCUGUCAGUGGUUUGGGGUGAGAUAUCUUUUCAUUUCACACAUUUCAUGAUAAGGCAAUAAGCGUAUAGUUUGCGGUUUGGGACGCAGCCCUGAGCGUGUGUAUUGACGUGCUUUUUGCAGCAUUCAUGCACAAAAACAAAUCCACAAACCUUAAAACUCCAACAACCAACUCGACUGAGUUGAAAGUUAAAUACAAGACUGAGAACAACUGUUGUUGAACUUUAACUGUUUAUUUAUGGAUAUGAAAAGAAGGAAUUACAACUUUUUUUUCCUUGAAUCCCAUUUAUUAGCCACGAUGAAUUCAAGCUUUAUAAUCCGCUGAAGGGAAAAUUCUUAAACACUUUUUAAAUCUGUAAUAUUCAUCACUUUACACACAGUGCUUAAAGGUUGCCUUAUGUAUGUAUGUAUGUAUGUAUGUAUGUAUGUAUGUACAGAUAUUUGGACAUACAUAUUUAAAUAUGUACCAUGAUCUUUAAUAUCCCAAAAUAUAAUCCGGAAUGGUUUAAAGAAAAUGUCACACUGAAAGGAGAAAUGAUCACCAAAAUGUGAAAAUAAUACCAAAAGGCACAAAAUCAGUGCAAAUAUUUAAAUGCUGGCUGUCAUGCAAUAUAUAACCACCUACAA